rnacentral:rRNA from 1 species
CCUACGGGUGGCAGCAGUGGGGAAUAUUGCACAAUGGGGGAAACCCUGAUGCAGCGACGUCGCGUGAGCGAUGAAGUCUUUCGGUGUGUAAAGCUCUUUCAGCAGGGAAGUAAAUGACGUUACCUGACUGAGCAUCCCUGUCUAAUUACAGUCCAGCAACAGCGGUAAUGCGUAGGGUGCAAGCGUUAUCCGGAUUGACUGGGGGUAACGGGAGCGUAGUCGGCUUUGCAGGCCUGCUGUGAAAGCCCGGGGCUCAACCCCGGGACUGCAGUUGGAACUGGCUGGUUGGAGUGUCGGCGAGGCAGGCGGAAUGCGGAGUGUAGCGGUGAAAUGCGUAGAUAUGAGGAAGAACACCAGUGGCGAAGGCAGCCUGCUGGACGAGGACUGACGCUGAGGCUCGAAAGCGUGGGUAGCAAACAGGAUUAGAUACCCGUGUAGUC